GUGGUUGGUGUUUGUAGCCCAGGUAUGUGAAAGGAAUAAUUUUGUCUAUUUUCCCUUAAAAGUUUGUUGCUUACCUGCACUUUGACACUGUUAGGAACGUCCUUUUCUCCUGUGCUGUGACCACUGAUGUAUCUUCAUGACCCAUCUCAGAGGUGGUUCCUCCAUGUCUUAGACCCCUGCUGUUUUGCCUAAGUUUAUUUUGUUUCCUGUUUUGCCCUUUAGUUUAGUGUUUUAGUUAAAUAGUAUAGUUUGCCCUUGUUCAGACAACUGGGUUACUUGGUUGGUUACUUUUUCUCGUUCAGUUUAUAUUUUGAGCAGGGUGCCAUCUUGUUGGGAGGCUAGGCACCUGUGGCAAGGUCCCUUUACUCUUCUGCAUGUGAGUAAUUGCACGGGGACACUAUAUAGACUACACCAUUUUUGCUGUGAAUAAUGCAUUGAAGUUUGUAGUGCUGCACUUAAGGUGGGUAGUAGUACUCCUGGGUACUUUGUGUAGUCUGCCUCUCCAAGUGACCUCUGCUGAGCUUUGGUUAUUUUGGGGCACUGGAUUUAUAUAUAUUUGAACUUGUAUUAACUAAUUGUAAUAAAAUUGUCAUAUCUACCAUUUUAUAA